rnacentral:sRNA from 1 species
AUUUUUUUUGGUUCUAAAGUUUAGUAUUAUUCGCUUAUGUUAUCAUCAUCACCUCGAAAACCCUAAUUCUACAAUAGUAAAAAUGAUCGAAAAAGAUAACGACUAAAAUGAUCAGCCAGAGGAAUUAAAUUGAUAUCUAAACGAAUCUCUUAAACCUACAAUUUUUAUGAAGUAAAGAGAUCGAAACCUGUCUGAUGGAGGAUUUGGGAGAGUCGAAAAGAAAAGUGAUUUAUAGAGACGGCAAGAGAAACGAGAGAAACACUAGGGUUUCAUAAAAGACGCCGUAACUAACCUAAAUCUUUUUUAUUUUAUUUUAGAAGAGUUGGACCUCUUUUAGGAUAUAUUUGGCCUAUACAGCUUACCUGCUUCUUUUAACCAUUUAACCAAAUAUUUUUCGUGUUUAUUUUGUGUACACUUAGAUUUUUUCGUGGGAGUGUUUGGUGGUAUCAAAAGGGAUGAGAGAAUAUUGAAACUUUGUGGAGA